rnacentral:lncRNA from 1 species
GUUCUCAAAUUGUAUUCAUUUCUUACAGCAAGUGAUACAACACUGUCAGUCAAGAGGUACGGCAUUGAUGAAGGUUGAGAAAGUUAUAAGCCUUAAUGGUUACAGAGCUGAACAGACCAAUAUGUAGAACUACAAACAUGUUCUAAUUUUCUUCUCUAAAACGAAAAAAAGACUUGCAAGAUAAAUAUAUGAUUAGUAAAACAAAUUCUAGAUUCAUUUUGCAGCUAAGCGUAUACAAAGUUUUC